rnacentral:rRNA from 1 species
CAAUAGCGUAUAUUAAAGUUGUUGCAGUUAAAAAGCUCGUAGUUGGAUUUCGGGGCAGCCUGGCUGGUCCGCCGCAAGGCGAGUACUGGUCAGCCGCCCUUCCUCUCGAAAGCCCCGACUGCUCUUCGUUGCAGUGGUCGGGUAGUUCGGGACGUUUACUUUGAAAAAACUAGAGUGUUCAAGGCAGGCCUACGCCUGAAUACAUUAGCAUGGAAUAAUGGAAGAGGACCUCGGUCCUAUUUUGUUGGUUUCCAGGGCCGAAGUAAUGAUUAAGAGGGACAGUUGGGGGCAUUCGUAUUUAAUUGUCAGAGGUGAAAUUCUCGGAUUUAUGAAAGACGAACAACUGCGAAAGCAUUUGCCAAGGAUGUUUUCAUUAA